rnacentral:telomerase_RNA from 1 species
AAUAAUUCAUCGCGUUGCCGUGGAGAAAUGAAACUUAUAACCUAACCUGAAUUAUUUACAGCCGGGUGCCCACGGUCGGCUCGUCAAAUCCGAGGGUAUAAAAAUAGGCAACGCGAUGUUUCUUUUUA